GUUAGCCUAUUCAACGACGUUUUUACACAAUAUCUGCUGUUUUACACAAGAUCUGCUGUAAAACAUGAAUAAUGGUGACUGGACCAGACAGUCUAUAUGUGACUCUGCUGAUUCUCUUCCACAGUUUAACCUCUGUGUCUGGUAACUACAGUCAUUGCUUCUGUCUGUGUGAAAGUGCUGUAAGGCAACAAAAGUGGAACACUUUGAAGGGGCGUGGUGGCUUUUGAUUCACACAAUGGCCUGUGAUAAGGUGAUUCUGAUUGAACGAAUUCAAGAAGAAGAAAUCCUUGUUGAAGGAGCAAAGCAACACUGGCUAUCCCUGAAAAGACAUGAGAGGGACUUGGACAGACUGUCUGACAGCAUCAUGGUAGAUGAAAACCCCUGGAAUCUUUCUGCAGAAGGGAUUCAAGGACUUCAAUGCUUGUUGCAGAAGAGACUUGCCCAGCUAAGGCCAAACUGUUAACACACCAGUAGAGAACCUGACCCUUGAAGACACACAGGAGAACAAUGAGUAUACCAGCUGCCAUGAGGAAGACCUUAAUGAUGCCAGCAGCACUGACAAGAGCUUUGAUGAAGCACACUAAAUCGUAUAGAUCCAGCGCAAGCGGUGUCUGCACAGGGUGUGUGGCGUCAUCAGGGACCCAUCCCAUCCACGCCACAAACUGUUUGCCCUCCUCCCAUCAGGCAGGCGGAAUAGGU